rnacentral:rRNA from 1 species
UACGAAGGGGGCUAGCGUUGCUCGGAAUUACUGGGCGUAAAGCGCACGUAGGCGGAUCUUUAAGUCGGGGGUGAAAUCCCGGGGCUCAACCCCGGAACUGCCUUCGAUACUGAGGAUCUUGAGUCCGGGAGAGGUGAGUGGAACUGCGAGUGUAGAGGUGAAAUUCGUAGAUAUUCGCAAGAACACCAGUGGCGAAGGCGGCUCACUGGCCCGGUACUGGCGCUGAGGUGCGAAAGCGUGGGGAGCAAACAGG